UGGGAGUAGAAUAUGUUAAAUCAUUUAAAGUGAUUUGCUCUAUCAUGGAUACGUUUAUCUUAGUGUAUUUUGCAUUAUUUUUGUUGUAGAUUAAAUGGCACCUAGCAACACUACACCAUUUGCUUUGCGUUCAGUCCUUGAGAAGGACAAGUUGAAUGGAACAAAGUACUCGGAUUGGAUCCGUAACCUGUGAAUUGUUCUCAGGGCUAAGAAAAAAGAAGAUGUUCUAGAC
rnacentral:lncRNA from 1 species